rnacentral:rRNA from 1 species
GACGAACCGUGCGAACGUUGUUCGGAAUCACUGGGCGUAAAGGGCUCGUAGGUGGCCAACUAAGUCAGACGUGAAAUCCCUCAGCUUAACUGGGGAACUGCAUCUGAUACUGGAUGGCUUGAGUUUGGGAGAGGGAUGCGGAAUUCCAGGUGUAGCGGUGAAAUGCGUAGAUAUCUGGAGGAACACCGGUGGCGAAGGCGGCAUCCUGGACCAACACUGACACUGAGGAGCGAAAGCCAGGGGAGCAAACGGG